UACGAAGGGGGCGAGCGUUGUUCGGAAUCACUGGGCGUAAAGGGAGCGUAGGCGGCGUGGUAAGUCAGAUGUGAAAUCCCGGGGCUCAACCCCGGAACUGCAUCCGAUACUGCCAUGCUAGAGGAUUGGAGAGGUAGCUGGAAUUCUUGGUGUAGCAGUGAAAUGCGUAGAGAUCAAGAGGAACACUCGUGGCGAAAGCGAGCUACUGGACAAUUCCUGACGCUGAGGCUCGAAGGCUAGGGUAGCGAAAGGG
rnacentral:rRNA from 1 species